rnacentral:misc_RNA from 1 species
GAUGAAGAACGUAGUGAAAUGCGAUAAGUAAUGUGAAUUGCAGAAUUCAGUGAAUCAUCGAAUCUUUGAACGCACAUUGCGCCCGCCAGCAUUCUGGCGGGCAUGCCUGUUCGAGCGUCAUUUCAACCCUCGACUUCCCUUUGGGGAAAUCGGCGUUGGGGACCGGCUGUAUACCGCCGGCCCCGAAAUGAAGUGGCGGCCCGUCCGCGGCGACCUCUGCGUAGUAAUCCAACUCGCACCGGAACCCCGACGUGGCCACGCCGUAAAACCCCCGACUUCUGAACGUUGACCUCGGAUCAGGUAGGAAUACCCGCUGAACUUAAGCAUAUCAAUAAGCGGAGGA